GACGAACGCUGGCGGCGUGCUUAACACAUGCAAGUCGAGCGGUAAGGCUCCUUCGGGAGUACACGAGCGGCGAACGGGUGAGUAACACGUGAGCAAUCUGCCCUUCUCUUCGGAAUAACCAUUGGAAACGAUGGCUAAUGCCGAAUACGACCUCCCUUCGCAUGUUGGGAGGUGGAAAGCUCCGGCGGAGAAGGAUGAGCUCGCGGCCUAUCAGCUUGUUGGCGGGGUAACGGCCCACCAAGGCAACGACGGGUAGCCGGCCUGAGAGGGGGACCGGCCACACUGGGACUGAGACACGGCCCAGGCUCCUACGGGAGGCAGCAGUGGGGAAUAUUGGACAAUGGGCGAAAGCCUGAUCCAGCAACGCCGCGUGAGGGAUGACGGCCUUCGGGUUGUAAACCUCUUUCGGCAGGGACGAAGCGAAAGUGACGGUACCUGCAGAAGAAGGACCGGCCAACUACGUGCCAGCAGCCGCCGUAACAC
rnacentral:rRNA from 1 species